rnacentral:rRNA from 1 species
UACGAAGGGUGCAAGCGUUACUCGGAAUUACUGGGCGUAAAGCGCGUGUAGGCGGUUCGGAAAGUCGGGUGUGAAAGCCCUGGGCUCAACCCAGGAAGUGCACUCGAAACUCCCGAACUAGAGUCCUGGAGAGGAAGGCGGAAUUCUCGGUGUAGAGGUGAAAUUCGUAGAUAUCUGGAGGAACACCGGUGGCGAAGGCGGCAUCCUGGACCGGCAUUGACGCUGAGGCGCGAAAGCCAGGGGAGCAAACGGG